rnacentral:rRNA from 1 species
AGUGCGUCUUAAGCAUGCAAGUCAAACGGGAUGUAGCAAUACAUCUAGUGGCGAACGGGUGAGUAACGCGUGGAUGAUCUACCUACGAGAUGGGGAUAACUAUUAGAAAUAGUAGCUAAUACCGAAUAAAGUCAAUCAAUUUGUUAAUUGAUGAAAGGAAGCCUUUAAAGCUUCGCUUGUAGAUGAGUCUGCGUCUUAUUAGCUAGUUGGUAGGGUAAAUGCCUACCAAGGCGAUGAUAAGUAACCGGCCUGAGAGGGUGAACGGUCACACUGGAACUGAGAUACGGUCCAGACUCCUACGGGAGGCAGCAGCUAAGAAUCUUCCGCAAUGGGCGAAAGCCUGACGGAGCGACACUGCGUGAAUGAAGAAGGUCGAAAGAUUGUAAAAUUCUUUUAUAAAUGAGGAAUAAGCUUUGUAGGAAAUGACGAAGUGAUGACGUUAAUUUAUGAAUAAGCCCCGGCUAAUUACGUGCCAGCAGCCGCGGUAAUACGUAAGGGGCGAGCGUUGUUCGGGAUUAUUGGGCGUAAAGGGUGAGUAGGCGGAUAUAUAAGUCUAUGCAUAAAAUACCACRGCUCAACUGUGGAACUAUGUUGGAAACUAUAUGUCUAGAGUCUGAUAGAGGAAGUUAGAAUUUCUGG